GCGGGGUUGAGACUAGGCGACUUUUGCGGGCUCAAAAUCCGGUUCCGAAAGGAGUGUCGGUUCGAUUCCGACCACCCGCACCA
rnacentral:tRNA from 1 species